UACAGUUGUAUUUUUUAGUUUUUUGAUACAAUGUUUUGACUCUUCGUCUUAUUUGAAAUUUUUUUACGAUUAAUAUUUUUAUUCUUACUAGAUGAUAAAACAUGAACAAUACUUUAUGCGUGACUAAUUUUUAAGUUUUUAUACAAAUUUUUCAAAUAAAACGAAUGAUCAAAUGUUGGACAUGGAAAAACA
rnacentral:pre_miRNA from 1 species